UGCAGUCGAGCGGAAUUUGUUGCUUCACUAAUAAUUCGAACAAACGCACCAAGCACGAAGUGCUUCACGCGAAAAAAGCUUGUCAACACAACAAGAAGUUUGAGAGAUUAGUGAAGUAACAAAUUUAGCGGCGGACGGGUGAGUAACGCGUGAGUAAUCUGCCCUAUACAGAGGAAUAGCCUCGGGAAACCGGGAUUAAAACCACAUAACACUUAAGUAUCGCAUGGUACAUAAGUCAAAUUGAUUAAGAGGUAUAGGAUGAGCUCGCGUCUGAUUAGCUAGUUGGUGAGGUAAAGGCUCACCAAGGCGACGAUCAGUAGCCGGCCUGAGAGGGUGAACGGCCACACUGGAACUGAGACACGGUCCAGACUCCUACGGGAGGCAGCAGUGGGGAAUAUUGCACAAUGGAGGAAACUCUGAUGCAGCGACGCCGCGUGAGUGAAGAAGGUCUUCGGAUCGUAAAACUCUGUCCUUGGUGAAGAUAAUGACGGUAGCCAAGGAGGAAGCCCCGGCUAACUACGUGCCAGCAGCCGCGGUAAUACGUAGGGGGCUAGCGUUGUCCGGAUUUACUGGGCGUAAAGGGUGAGUAGGCGGUUGCAUAAGUCAGAUGUAAAAGGCGUGGGCUUAACUUACGUUAGCAUUUGAAACUGUGCGACUUGAGUGCAGGAGAGGUAAGUGGAAUUCCUAGUGUAGCGGUG
rnacentral:rRNA from 1 species